rnacentral:rRNA from 1 species
GAACGCGAAGAACCUUACCAAGUCUUGACAUCCUUUGACCACUCUAGAGAUAGAGCUUUCCCUUCGGGGACAAAGUGACAGGUGCUGCAUGGCUGUCGUCAGCUCGUGUCGUGAGAUGUUGGGUUAAGUCCCGCAACGAGCGCAACCCUUGUCAUUAGUUGCCAUCAUUAAGUUGGGCACUCUAAUGAGACUGCCGGUGACAAGCCGGAGGAAGGUGGGGAUGACGUCAAGUCCUCAUGGCCCUUAUGACCAGGGCUUCACACGUCAUACAAUGGUCGGUACAGAGGGUAGCCAAGCCGCGAGGUGGAGCCAAUCUCACAAAACCGAUCGUAGUCCGGAUUGCACUCUGCAACUCGAGUGCAUGAAGUCGGAAUCGCUAGUAAUCGCAGGUCAGCAUACUGCGGUGAAUACGUUCCCGGGUCUUGUACACACC